rnacentral:rRNA from 1 species
UACGUAGGGUGCGAGCGUUGUCCGGAAUUAUUGGGCGUAAAGAGCUCGUAGGCGGUUUGUCACGUCUGCUGUGAAAUCCCGAGGCUCAACCUCGGGCCUGCGGUGGGUACGGGCAGACUAGAGUGAUGUAGGGGAGACUGGAAUUCCUGGUGUAGCGGUGGAAUGCGCAGAUAUCAGGAAGAACACCCGUGGCGAAGGCGGCUCUCUGGGACGGUACUGACGCUGAGACGCGAAAGCGUGGGGAGCGAACAGG